rnacentral:lncRNA from 10 species
CCAGGAGCAAGGCGUCCCUGGUGACAGCGCGUCCCAAGGGCUCUCCCUUUUCCCAGAGCGCAUUCCAAAGGCCGACUCCUUUGCAGGCUCCACGAGCCCCAUUCGCGGUGGAGAGGGGCGUUCCAGGCUGCAGGUUAGAAAGCUGCUCUGUUGAAUAAGAGCCCAAAUGAUGAGUACAUUCUUCAAAGAGACAAACUAAGACCCUUAGAGAUGAGAGUAUGAAAGAGAAAAUACAUACUCUGGAAUCCAUUGGUCCUACCCCACUUAUUCAGAAUAAUUCAAUUAAAAACAACACACAUCAUAUAGGAAUGUCAACAGUGAAGGCAACUUCCCAUGAAAAAAAUUAUGACAAAGUAUAUUUCCUGGCGCUGUGUCAAGCUCUCAGGAGUGAAUAUAUGGAUAGGUAAGGCAAGUACCACAUCACUAAGAUCAAAUGACGUCUCUGCUCUAAUCUAAAUUCAACCAAUUUUAAAUUUCAGGGUUCCAAGUUGCUUUUAGGUCCUAUCUUUAGAGUCACUCCUUUCAAUAAUAUAUCUUUUCCUCCAGGUUGAGAUUUUUAAAAUAUUGCUCCAUUAUUUCCUAGUAAAAUAUUAUUGCCUAGGUGUUUCUUAAGGAAUUUCUUGGCUCUCGAAAUUACUGGUCUAUCAAACAUUUGUGAAUGUAAUUAAUUCAUUUUCUUGAUUUCAUACGUGUGAUAUCACAUGUACAAAUUAUAAUAUACAGAUCUGCUUUCUGGCAAGGAGCACCAUGUGUUUACCACAGCAAUCUAUUAUACCACACACACAUUAUUCAUUAACACUAAUAGACAUCAUGUGCAUAAAACCCACUCAUUAAUUGGAAAAUUAAACUCCCUUGUGUAUAAAUAAAUCACCUCCUCAGCUAUAUAAAGACACUUAUUUUUAUCUUUAAAUUUGUAUUUUAGUGAUUGUUUAAUAAAUGCAAUUGGAUUGGUCUAUAAUAUCUUUUAUUGUAGCAAAGAUUUGACUGUGCUGAGAACAAACUGCACAUCAUCCAAAAGUCUGACCUUUCUUUGGUUACUAACAUUCCAAGUGUAGCCAAAAGACACCUGGUUGAAGUGUAGAAACAUUCUGCAGGCUGAUCAAAAUGCAAGUAGGUCCUCUAAGUAGGAAAAACUUUUGGCUGAGUUUCAGGGGAAAAGGCUUCUUAAACUCAAAAUACCACCUUUACCUGUUUCUUUACCUGAAAUGCCCAGUGAACCAUCACGAGUCCCUGUGUUCUGACUUUCUCAGCUGUAAAGUGAGAUACUAAUAAGAUCUAUCUCGUUAGGCUGUUGGGAGGACUUAAUGAAAUGACAGACAUGAAGGGCUUGCCAUAGGAUCUGGUAGACAGAGGCUGCAAAAGAAGGAUGAGAUGAUCCACCACUUAAAUUGUGGUAACACGGUCCUACUAUGUGUCAGUCACUCUACAGAAUGCUUGUCUUACCUUAUCUCAAACAAUCCUCACAAUUCUGACAGAAAGUUAUGAUUAUUCCCAAUAUACACACAAAAGACAGUUACAGUUCACAGGAAUCGGGCUCAGGGAGGUCGAACAGCUCUCUCAAGGUCACACAGAUUCUUGUGCAAGGAUUCUGUGUGAUUAUGGUCUUGCUCUUUCCCUGAUCAGAAUAAGCUGAAGUAUACAUGCAGAAAUAGGAGAAUUUUUUGUCCUAGAAAAAUGUCCAACGUCCCAUAAAUUAUCAUGAUGUCCUUUUUUGUAGCUUCUCAGGGAAUCCUUGAAGAUAGUAGUUUUAGAAAACUGAAAAAUAUUUUUGAAUAAUAUGGCUAAGUAUAGAUCGAUUCAAUGACAGAAACUAGAAUAUUAAGCAUCUUUAGCAUCAAAUAAAUGAGUGCUGAGUAACUCUGGAACCUUGCAAGCUAUCUCAGCUCACACUUGCCUUGCUUCACAUAUGUGGGGAAGAGAAAUCCAGUUACAUUCUUCUAUUUGCUUGUCAACAUUUCCUAAUAAAACUGCCAAAAUGUCAACCUAGAGUUUUAGAGAAAGAAAGCAAAGGACUGGGUUAAAAUAAGUAACUACAAAAGAACAAGGAUGAUUUUAUCCACAUUUAUACAGCGAUUUUAAAAAUGUUUAAUCAUAAUAUGAUUAGUGUUUGGAAAGACUUAUCUAGUUUAAAAAUAGUUUUAAAGUUGUGAAAAAAAAUGUUUUAAAUAAAUAAGAGGCUCUGAGAACCAUCUAGCAUUUACAACAUUGUUAAGAACUGAUUGAAGUGUCAUUUAAGUAAUGCUUCUGAAAUUUCCUGCACAAACUAGUGCUUUUAUAUGUGGACAUAAACAGUUUCUCCAUUGCAAACAAUAUGUCUUCUUAGCUUUAAACAAAGAUGAAUCCUUCAGAGAUUAGUAUCAGUGUUUCUUCAACACAUAGUAAAAAUUCAUUAUAACUUUCUAUAUUAAUGUGUCCUUGCAUAAUUUAUUUUACAUUUGAACACAAGAAACUGCUGUAAAAAUUUAUUUGGAAAAAAAUGCAGUUUAUUGUAUCUGAAAGAAUUUUCCAUAUAUGCACUGCAACUCUUCCUAGAUACAAAUGGAAGAUUUUUAAAAACAGUUUUAACUAAAAAAAAAAAAAAAAAAAAGAACAUUAAUAA